rnacentral:rRNA from 1 species
UACGAAGGGGGCUAGCGUUGUUCGGAAUUACUGGGCGUAAAGGGCGCGUAGGCGGCGUGUUAAGUCACUUGUGAAAUCUCUAAGCUUAACUUAGAACGGUCAAGUGAUACUGAUGUGCUAGAGUGCAGAAGGGGCAACCGGAAUUCUUGGUGUAGCGGUGAAAUGCGUAGAUAUCAAGAGGAACACCUGAGGUGAAGACGGGUUGCUGGGCUGACACUGACGUUGAGGCGCGAAAGCUAGGGUAGCAAACGGG